CCUACGGGGGGCAGCAGUGAGGAAUAUUGGUCAAUGGACGAGAGUCUGAACCAGCCAAGUAGCGUGAAGGAUGACUGCCCUAUGGGUUGUACACUUCUUUUAUAUGGGAAUAAAACAGGGUAUGCAUACCCUCUUGUAUGUACCAUAUGAAUAAGGAUCGGCUAACUCCGUGCCAGCAGCCGCGGUAAUACGGAGGAUCCGAGCGUUAUCCGGAUUUAUUGGGUUUAAAGGGAGCGUAGGUGGAUUGUUAAGUCAGUUGUGAAAGUUUGCGGCUCAACCGUAAAAUUGCAGUUGAAACUGGCAGUCUGGAGUACAGUAGAGGUGGGCGGAAUUCGUGGUGUAGCGGUGAAAUGCUUAGAUAUCACGAAGAACUCCGAUUGCGAAGGCAGCUCACUGGACUGCAACUGACACUGAUGCUCGAAAGUGUGGGUAUCAAACAGGAUUAGAUACCCGGGUAGUC
rnacentral:rRNA from 1 species